GUGCAGCUUUGCAGACAGGGCCGGUAAGUCUGGUUGGCUGGGCUGCUCUAGUUCCCUGCUUGCCAACAGCCUCCUCACUUCUUUCUUUGCUCAUUUUGUCACUAAGCUGAGAAACCUUUGAACAAAUAGCGGACAGCGUGGCAGGUGGCAGUCUCCUGGACUCUGCCCUCUAGCCUGGGACUGAUUCCAGGCCUCAUCAGUUACAGGCCAGGGGAUCUGAGGCAGGUUACUGAACCCGAGUCCUUGAUCCCCAUUUACAGAAUGGGGGUGAUGACAACACCUGUCCUAGUGCCAGGUACGUAGUAAAAUGCUUAAUGAAGCCUUGCUGUGAGGAGAGCUCCUGCAAUGAGAAUUCCUCCACAUGUGUCAGCGGGUACCAUUCCCUCCGCGAAACCACAAAACAGGCGGACUCCAUCUACCUUCCUGGAGAGAUGCCUCCUUAUUUCCAAACUCAUGCAGAGCCGCGGCAUGACAGCCACGCUCCAGCUGCCUGAUCUGAUCUCCCCAUCAUGAUUCUGAGAAAGGACUAGAAACAAACACAAGAGACCACAGAAUCCCUCAGAGAGAGAGGGGCUGUCUCUUGGGUUAUUUCUGCUCUUAGCUUCAGGGCCCUGAGAUGGUCUGAAAUUGCUAGGAUCCUGUAAAAUUGCAUAACAGAAACAUUCUAGGACUGCCACUUAGGGACUCAUUAAAAAACCGCUUAAGGCGAGCAAGGUAGAAGGUAAGAAUCCCAUAACCUGCGGCAUAAAUUCAGAGCACCUUACUUUUCACUCUUUUUUAACCCCUUGGCAAUCAGUCAAGGGCUGCUAGUGAAGCAUCUACAAGGUUGCAUUUCCCUGGGGAUGGUCGGGAGGAAUUCAGGGAGCCCUGGGGAACGCUAAAAUGGGAAAAGGGACCUCACCUCCCUCAGCGACCACCCACCUCCACUUCUGCAUGCACGGCCAGUGGUCAGCCACGCCUUUCAGGAUCACGGGCCUCCCUGGAACCAAAAACUGCUCCCUGAAAUGCUGGAGGGACGGACGGUGCAGCCGGGGGACUGUUUUUUCUAACUUCACAUCUGGAAUCAAACCAUGGUCCGCCCUUGCUUUCUGUUUAAAAUCAAAACAGAACAAAAUAGCAACCACCUCAGGAAGUCGACAUUUGAGGUAUUCCACCAGGAACCUGUGUCAGGGGUAGGAGAGCUUAGCUGUCAAGAGUACCAGUAACAACAAUAGACAACGUUUGUUAUUAUUACUGCUACUAUUACUAUUUGCUCCUCAUGAGAUCAAGGUGGUUUUUUUCUUAACCAUUUCAUCAAAAAUGUUUGUUUCAUUAUAAACUGCUUUCACAGACAUUCUGCAAUAAAGGAAAACUUACUAUCUCCAACUUCACCAUCUUAAGGUCUUCUCAUUCCUAUUCUUUUCCCAUCUUACACACACACACACACACACACACACACACACACACACACACACGCAAAAUAUCUCUGACCCACUGGGAGUAACAGCAAUGAUGAAGCAGCAGCCCUGCCUCUCCCCUCCAAUCAUUUAUCAAAAGCAGUUUCCACAUGGCCACCCGGUCCUUACAGUUUCUUAGGAGUGGCUGCACCAUCAUUUCCUUAACCAUCUCCCAGCUGGGUGACCUGAGUAAGUUACUUGCUGCUUGAGAACCUCAGUGUCCACAGGUGUGAACCUGCUGGGAAAUGGCCAGCCACACUGGCUCAUACCUGUAAUCCCAGCACUUUGGGAGACCAAGGUGGAAGGACUGCUUGAGCCCAGGAGUUUGAAACGAGCCUGGGCAACAUAGAGAAACCUCUGGCU
rnacentral:lncRNA from 1 species